rnacentral:lncRNA from 1 species
UUUACAUUGCAAAGGCCAUAAGAAAUUUAAGUGUCUUUAACAAAAUAUACGUAACUCGUUCAAUUCGCAAUAUUUCUUCACAAAAAUUCCACAGUGCUCUAGGCGAUUCUCGGCAUGGCCGAGUUGGACGAUAGCCUAGACCAAGUUCCUUUUAAGUUUUCUGCUUUUUCAUUAGACCAAACUGCUGAUCAAAAGAAAAGUUACGCCUCAAAGCUUCAACGGAAUGGCGUGAAUGACUGUCCAUGGGGCAUUGACGAGAAAUACUUUAUUGUUGGUGAUCAAGAUCUUCGCCAACUACAAAGAAGUUUACCCAACAAAUACGACCUAAUUGAUUACCUUUAUGUAACAAAAAGUCGACAUGAUGGCAACAGAACUGAGAAUUUGAAGAGUAUGCUAAGCUACAAGAAGUUUUAAGAUGGAUAUGUUGUGUACAAGGCCUUGCAUAAACUGAAGGAUGGCAAGGGAAUCGUUUUGGGCAAAGUGAUGCGUUCCAUGUCUAUUAGUAAAGCACCCAGACAGCUGUGGGUAUUGCUUGAUAAAAAAGGAGGUGUAAUAACAGCCCAUUGCAACUGUCCAGCUGGAUUGAACGAAACAUGUUCACAUAUUGGCUGUUUGUUGUUCUGCUUGGUGGCCAUAAAGAAGGAGGCUUGCACUAGCCAUCGUCAAGAAUGGGGCCAUCAUACGACAAACCACAAAGACUUGAAUUUGGCUGACAAAAUUUCAGACCUAGCAGUUUGUAAACAAGCUAAAAGUUCAACACCAAAAAGGCUAGAGGUAUUCAGCCAGCCAGUGAAGAGAAGGUGCAGCAGAUGUUUGAUCAACUGGCACUUGAAAAGAAACCGUGUGUCCAACUUUGAGUCGAAGAAAGCACCUACGCUAACUUCAUUCCUUUACAAAUGAAGACUCCCCUUCCAAAGCCAAUGUCAUCAAUUUUCGACUCACGUAAUGAAAGCCACAGUAUUGAAGAGUUGAUCAGUAUGGCAGAAGAUUUUCUUAGUAACUUUCACUUUACUGAAGAUCAGCGCAUCUUACUGGAGCUCCUCACCAGAAACCAGUUCAAAUCCAUUUUGUGGGGUAAACAUCGAGAAGGGAGAAUAACCGCCAGUAACGCUCAUGCUGUUCUUCACACCGAUUGGACAAAUCCCUCAAAGACUAUCGUUCAGAAGAUGUGCUAUCCAGACAGAGCCGCGUUUGAUUCUACUUCUACUAAAUGGGGCCGAGUCAACGAAAAGAAAGCCCUAAAGUCAGUAACGGAGCAUAUUAAGAAGACUUGUUUGCCCGAUGCCGUUCUGCUUCCGUGUGGAUUGUUCAUUUGCCAACAGCAGCCCUUCCUAGGCGCAACACCCGACAGCAAAGUGCUGUGCGAAUGCCAUGGUCUAUCUCUCAUCGAAGUUAAACGUCCGUAUUCUCAUCGAGAUCACACCAUACGCGAUGCUAUUCUAGCUGAUAAAUCAUUUUGUCUCGAAGAAGUCAAAGAAAAUAAUUUUAUGUUGAAAUGUUCUCACAUGUACAGUAUCCUGCACAAAAAUCCGAACACCGAUUUAAUUUUUUUGAGCCACCUAUUGG